GGGCCUGUAGCUCAAUUGGUAGAGCGCAGCUAUGGCAUAGCUGAGGUAAGGGGAUCGUAGCCCCUCAGGUCCACCC
rnacentral:tRNA from 2 species